AGCAACAGCACUAUAAUUUUGAAAUACACAUGUUAACAAUUUGAUUAACAUUUUGUGUAUCAAAUACUCAUGUUUAGAAUACAAUAUACUUUUUUUUUGUACCCUGAACCCAUUGAAAAUGCGAUAAAUGCCUUGCCCGUCUGACUGUCCGUCCAUCCGUCCGCCUAGUGGCCGCGCAGUAAAUUGUGUUUCCGAUGAUCGAUAACUUGAUCCGUUUCCAAGCCGUCCAUACAAAUCGAUAUCAAAACAGAGAACUAUGGUCACGAAACUUGACAUGUAGCUUCUUUAAUAGUAUACAUUCAUGUAUAUCAUUAAUUUUGUUCAUUUAUUAAAUGGUCGAAAAAAAACGAGUGUCUUCCUAAUUAUUCAAUAUGUCAAAUUAUAAAAGUUAGAUACUGAAAACCUAAUGAGAAUACACAAUUUUCUCAUAUCGUCACCAUUGGCCCGUCACCAAGCAAUGCGCCUUUUCACAGCUAUAUUUGUCAGUGGUGCUAUUAGAGCCUAAGCUAAGAAGAAGGGAGUUAGAAGAGUGUUAAGUAGAUAGUUUAAAAAGAUAGUAGUGGUAACACACCGAACGGAUGUAGGAAAAUGUAUGGCCUGUCCGGCAAGCUAUGAGCAGGGGGCAUAACUGGUAAUGGUGAGUGAGUUCCCGAAAGCAACGAGGGGUACAGAAACUUGGGACUAUUAUAAUUUUUGCAUAUCACGUGAAACGAAACACGAAACGUAGAGUAGUCUGUUGUGCACGUAGGUAUUAAUAAGGGGCGAACAUUCCUGGUAGGUCUAGACGGAUCAGAUAAUUGAAGACAAAGCACAAUCAACCUAUUUAGGAAGAGAAAAUCAAGGAUUUUCGUAGGGUUGGUUAUCGAUGGAAGAUUAAGAAGAAGAAGCCUGCUGAAGUAGGAUGGGAACCGAAGAUUAGGGUCCCAAUUUAAACCUCGUAAGGCUAAAAGCAGAAAUUGUUCCCGAACAAAUUUAAUACGAUCCUGACUAUUAUUAUACUGCGGAGGUCAGAUGCAAGAGCAAAGGAUAGGGCGAACAGUAACACUUUAGACCAUCAUUUAAUAGAUCUAACUACACUAUUUUCUCCAUCUAUGGUCCAUCGAUGGUAUCUAUGUAAAGUUUGAAACAGAGCUUAGAAUCAAAAAGAGCGCCUAGAUCCUUAACUGAUAGUAUACGUAUGAUACGUAAUAAUGGGGUAUUGUCGAUUGUAUAACUGCUAAGAAAAGGUGUGACACAACUGAAAGUAAUAACAAUUUAAAUGCAAUUGAAGACGAGAAUGAUGUAGAGGAUUAGUGCAUGAAAGAAUAAGUAGCACAUUGUCCGCAUAUGAUAGAACUGAGGGGAGAUAAUUUAUAAAAAGAGGAAAGGCCAAUAUGACUAUAUUGAGGAACACCACAAUUAACUUGAGCCUGUUUUGAGAUAGUCAGCCUCAGCUUUACUCUUUUGGUCGAAAUCCAAUGCAACAGACAAAAGAUUCAAGGAAUAAAUUAAAAAGCUUUAGCAAUGGACGAAGAAGGAAAGAACUACACUCCUUUAUUAGACAACUAGCAAUAUCGUCAGGCCGAGGAUAGUAAGAAGGUUCUUAAGAAUUUAUAGCUGAGAGGAGAGACGAAUGUGGAAUAAUAGAAUCAGGUAUAGAAAUAGAGGAAGGGUAAGAAUUAUUAUUAGGACAGGCUGAAGAGUAAGUUGAUUGGAAAAAAUUAGCAAAAGGUUAGCAGAAUCAGUCAUUUCUUGCUUUUUCCAUUCUGAGAGAAAAAGAAUAUGGCAAAAUUGAAGAAUUGCGGUUCAAGUUUACAAAAAUUGUAAAACUGUCUCAGAUUUUGGGGGAAUUGCAUUUUUGCAACAAGUUAGAUAAUUCUUAUAGCAUUGAGAAUUGAGAAGAAAGACGAUCGCCUUGGCUAUGGAAUAUUUGGUCAAGUCAGUACUCGAACCAGACCUAUUAAACUUUAUAUUAAUAUUUAGAUUUCAUUUUUUUAGGUUUGAUAGUGUGGGAGUACACCAGAAAAAGCAGCCGGAGGAAUUGAAUCGAGAAUAGACAUAUCUAAGAUGGAGUUCAGGAUGUUAUAAAAAGAGUUAAGAGGAGUAUUCAUAUCAACCGAG